GACGAACGCUGGCGGCGUGCCUAAUACAUGCAAGUCGAACGGAAAGGCCCGGCUUUUGUGCGGUGCUCGAGUGGCGAACGGGUGAGUAACACGUGAGUAACCUGCCCUUGACUGUGGGAUAACUUUAGGAAACUGGGGCUAAUACCGGAUAGCAGCUCCUGCCGCAUGGUGGGGGCUGGAAAGUUUCGGUGGUUGGGGUUGGACUCGCGGCUUCUCAGCUUGUAGGUGGGGUAGUGGCUUACCCCGGCUAUGACGGGUAGCCGUCCUGGGAGGGUGACCGGCCCCAUAGGGCCUGAGGUAGGGCCAGGAGUGAAACGGGAGGAAGCGGUGGAAAAUAGUGCGCACUGGGCGGAGGGCGGGUGCAGCAGUGCCGGGUGCGGAAUGACGGCCUUAGGGGUGUAAACCGCGGUAGACUGUGACGAACCGUCAGUGACGGUAACGGAUCAGGAAGCAACGGCUAACUACGUG
rnacentral:rRNA from 1 species